UAAAUGAUAACACACGGCUCAGAAACGAAACCAUAAAUCCGGAGAUUGUGUUUUUAAUUUCGCUCUCAAUAAAAAAUAAUAGAUUGCAUUGUUCGUUCUCUGGGGGCUGAUGAGAUGUAGCUGUGUUGAUUGAGAGCAAAAUUCUGUUCUAUAAAGAAGUGACCCUUUGUCUGAUCGGUUAUCGAUCACUUCUUGUAGAAGUAGUCACUUAUGAUUGAAUAAAUUAGUGAGGAGUCAUGGAUAAAGGAUGGAUGCACCUUGGUGACAGCUUCAAAUGAGCAUAAAACUGGAGCACAAAGUAUGGAUCGCUAAAGGCAUUGAUGCCAGUGUGCCCUUGUAUAGGUCUAAAGUUCGUUGCUUUGAUUUGAAAGAGGCAUAUGUUAAAGCAACUACAAUUGCAUGGCCUAUCAAGUACAUCAAAAUUUCACCCAAAGGAGUGGAGAUCACAGCUAAGCCUAUUAGUCUCUCCUUCUCUACUGCCUUGCAGGUGCGAAACUUCAAGGUCAUGGUGAAAGCGCAACCCAUGUCGAAGGGACGUGAAAAAAUAAUUUCAGCUUUUCUCUCAUGGAGAAGCUCUAGUCAUAUUGUCAGGAGUCCAAUUGUUAUUUAUCAAUGAAAAGAUCGACCAGCCCCGCAGUGGACAAUGUAGUGUUAUGAAACUACAUAUAGGAUGAAGUGCAUGAUCAGAAAUAAAAUUGGAAGAUAAUCCAAUGUGAUUUAGGAGUACAACAUAUACAUAUGCGUUUGUUUGUGGAUGUGUAUGUGUGAAUGUUGUUCUUGAAGUUGAAGGUAUGGUAAAACUGAGAUGCAUGUAAGCUUUGUUUGAGAAGCAUUAGUCUUAACUUGCAUCAGAGUAAUGCUAUAAAUUGGAAAAUCUUUUUCGUAAGAAUAAUGAUAGAAAACUUAAAUAGUAAUUUCCGAAAUUUCACCAAAUCUGAUGUGGCUAAAGAUAGGUAAGAUUCAUUAUAUGUCUUUUAAGACAUGUAGGAUUCAAUAUCACUCAUGGGAACGAAAUCGAUAGAUCCAAACAAACAAAUAAAUAUGUGUAAUAAUGGAAUGCUAUUAAGAAGAAAUUUAGC